CUGAGGAUGGGACUGUGCAGGAGGCAUGGGGGCCUUGGGGUGGGAGAUGCUGAUAGUGGAGGUGGGCUGGGUGUCUGGCCCAGCACUGUCUGGAGGACUGAGUUGAUCUGGGAAGAGAAUGAGGAGGGGCUGACAGCGGGAGCUGCUGGUGGGGGCUGAUGGAACGCUUGGCCUUGAGGGGGUUGUCGUCUCGGGCAGACAGCUUCAGCGGCAGCAUCUGUUUCAUAUCCACCGAGGCUGAGAGGGAGGAGGGAGGAUAAAAAGAAAAAAGGGAGACAAACAUAGACAGGGGGUGAUUUAAUUGUAAAAUUAGAUUGCCCUGGUAAACUAGAACAGCCUAGCCUAUCUCGAACACUUUUUGUUAAAUCAGAGGGCUGACUCAAUUUGGACAGCUAAUGUGAUCCUAAUGAACCACGUAAAUCAUGCUCCUCAGGUCAAGCUCAGGCACAGAUGGCUUGUAUAUUGAUAGAAAAGUGAGUGAGAAGAAUCAACCUUAAAACUGAAAAUACUGCACUGUUAUACACCACCUGCAAAUUGUAAUGCCAUUUUUAAAAAGAGUGAAUUGAAUUUGCCCUCUGGGGAUCAAUAACGGUGUAUGUUAUCUCUUAUGAUCCUUUGAGGUUAUUAUGAGUUGGCAACAGAUAAAACAGAAAA